GCCUUAGUAACGGCGAGUGAAGCGGCAAUAGCUCAAAUUUGAAAUCUGGCUUCCUUGGAAGUCCGAGUUGUAAUUUGCAGAGGGCGCUUUGGCGUCGGUAGCGGUCUAAGUUCCUUGGAACAGGACGUCACAGAGGGUGAGAAUCCCGUACGUGGUCGACUACCUUCGCCGUGUAAAGCCCCUUCGACGAGUCGAGUUGUUUGGGAAUGCAGCUCUAAAUGGGAGGUAAAUUUCUUCUAAAGCUAAAUACUGGCCAGAGACCGAUAGCGCACAAGUAGAGUGAUCGAAAGAUGAAAAGCACUUUGGAAAGAGAGUCAAACAGCACGUGAAAUUGUUGAAAGGGAAGCGCUUGCCGCCAGACGUGCCCGUGGUGGUUCUCCUCCGCGGGCAGGCCAGCAUCAGUUUGGGCGAUCGGAUAAAGGCCUCUGUCAUGUAUCUCCCUUCGGGGUGACCUUAUAGGGGAGGCGCAAUGCGAUCAGCCCGGACUGAGGUCCGCGCAUCUGCUAGGAUGCUGGCGUAAUGGCUGUAAGCGGCCCGUCUUGAAACACGGACCAAGGAGUCUAACAUCUAUGCGAGUGUUUGGGUGUCAAGCCCGAGCGCGUAAUGAAAGUGAACGGAGGUGGGAACCCUUUGGGUGCACCAUCGACCGAUCCUGAAGUCUUCGGAUGGAUUUGAGUAAGAGCAUGGCUGUUGGGACCCGAAAGAUGGUGAACUAUGCUUGAAUAGGGUGAAGCCAGAGGAAACUCUGGUGGAGGCUCGCAGCGGUUCUGACGUGCAAAUCGAUCGUCAAAUUUGGGCAUAGGGGCGAAAGACUAAUCCGAACCAUCCUAGUACCUGGUUCUGCCGAGCUG
rnacentral:rRNA from 1 species